rnacentral:lncRNA from 1 species
CCUUCCUGAGGUUCCAACCUGCUGCUGCCUGGAGGAAUUCAGGCUCAGGCUGCAACAUCAGCUUUUAUCUAUGUCUUCAGGCUGCUAACAAGUCCUACAACUGUGGACUUUAUAGCCACCUGAAUUGUACUCACAGGGUGUGUGUUUCUGCCAAGUCACCUGUCCUAGGAACAGAGAGCUUUGGUUAAGUCUCAGGAACCCGGGAGAAGAGAAGGGGAUAAAGUCGGCAGGUAUGUGUGGAUGAAUUCAUAACUAAACUUCACACUCCUAAAGAUGUAACAACCGUUA